rnacentral:lncRNA from 1 species
AUGACUUAUGAUUCCUGCUCAUCAUGGGAACCUGUCUGGAUUGUCCCUGCAGAAUGCUACAGCUUCCUUUCCUUCAUCGUGUUAUCAGCUUGUGGAGUCAUAAACCUGAGUGGAACUUUGGAUGGAAAUACUGACAUGAACUUGAGAACUUUGAUUCUUUCGAACCUUGAAUUUUGAUUGUUAAAUGACCAGUUCAAAAUACUACCUGAACAAGAUGAAAUGCCUUGAAGACCUUUGGUUCUG